CAAGAAUUAGUUUAAUAGAACAAUUACUUUGGGUGUAAUAGGUUAAUUUCUUGG
rnacentral:tRNA from 1 species